UGGCGGACGGGUGAGUAACGCGUGGUAAAACCUGCCGUAUACUGGGGGAUAACACUUAGAAAUAGGUGCUAAUACCGCAUAAGCGCACAGCUUCGCAUGAAGCGGUGUGAAAAACUCUGGUGGUAUACGAUGGUUCCGCGUCUGAUUAGCUAGUUGGUGGGGUAAUGGCCUACCGAGGCAACGAUCAGUAGCCGGCCUGAGAGGGUGAACGGCCACAUUGGGACUGAGACACGGCCCAAACUCCUACGGAAGGCAGCAG
rnacentral:rRNA from 1 species